rnacentral:rRNA from 1 species
UACAGAGGUCCCGAGCGUUGUUCGGAUUCACUGGGCGUAAAGGGUGCGUAGGUGGCAGGGUAAGUCGGAUGUGAAAGCUCGGAGCUCAACUCCGAAAUGGCAUUGGAAACUACCCAGCUCGAGGGUUGGAGGGGGGACUGGAAUGCUUGGUGUAGCAGUGAAAUGCGUAGAUAUCAAGCGGAACACCAGUGGCGAAGGCGAGUCCCUGGCCUGUUCUUGACGCUGAGGCGCGAAAGCUAGGGGGAGCAAACGGG